rnacentral:rRNA from 1 species
UGGGGAAUUUUGGACAAUGGGCGAAAGCCUGAUCCAGCAAUGCCGCGUGUGUGAAGAAGGCCUUCGGGUUGUAAAGCACUUUUGUCCGGAAAGAAAUCCUUGGCUCUAAUACAGUCGGGGGAUGACGGUACCGGAAGAAUAAGCACCGGCUAACUACGUGCCAGCAGCCGCGGUAAUACGUAGGGUGCAAGCGUUAAUCGGAAUUACUGGGCGUAAAGCGUGCGCAGGCGGUUUGCUAAGACCGAUGUGAAAUCCCCGGGCUCAACCUGGGAACUGCAUUGGUGACUGGCAGGCUAGAGUAUGGCAGAGGGGGGUAGAAUUCCACGUGUAGCAGUGAAAUGCGUAGAGAUGUGGAGGAAUACCGAUGGCGAAGGCAGCCCCCUGGGCCAAUACUGACGCUCAUGCACGAAAGCGUGGGGAGCAAACAGGAUUAGAUGCCCUGGUAGUCCACGCCCUAAACGAUGUCAACUAGUUGUUGGGGAUUCAUUUCCUUAGUAACGUAGCUAACGCGUGAAGUUGACCGCCUGGGGAGUACGGUCGCAAGAUU